UAUUCUCCUUUCCACCACGUUAAAGGCCAAGCAAAGUCGACAACGCCGAAUCGAAUUUGGACGUGACUGGCGCCUUUGAUUCUAAGGAUUUCCUCCUUUUGGAAAAACAAAGUUGGAUGCUAGUACUUGUUAAUUGGAACUGGAACAUGGGAGGUUGGAGGUAGGCCAGCUCGCACUUUGCAGCAAAACAAGAUUUCAGACAAAUGGGAUACUGGGUGAUUAAGACUGCAAUUUGGCAUGCAAUCCAACAUCGUUAAUUCUUGGGUGGAAAGUCGACCAAAUAGAGUUUCUUUCUUUAUGUGAAAGAUCUUUGUCAGCCCUUGCUUUUAUGCUUUUGGACUUCAGCGCCUGCGCCUCCCUCCAUGGGAACACAGCAAAAAGGAGUCGCCGAAAAGAAAA
rnacentral:lncRNA from 1 species